UAAACUACGACCAAAUCCUUGUUUAAGUAACUCCAUAUUUUCUCAUUGAUCCCAUUAAGAUUUAUUUUGCUUUCUUUAUGUCCCGUCGAUCUUUUUCUUUUCUUAUUUAUUUUUUUUCCUUCGUUUCUUAUUGGUUUUCCUCAAGUUCAAUUUUUUUUUCCCUCAACUCCGAUAUUAUAUUUAUCAUUGAUGUAGUCAUGUUCGCUUUUCUCAAGAAACAAUUUCCUCCAUCGCCCUUGAGUCGCUCUAAUUUUGUAGUAAUCACUAAAAAGAGGUUGCCCGAGCUGAGCACGAGCCCAACACUAACUGACAAUUAAUAAGCAGUGCGAAAAAAGUUCAGUAGUUUAUCUUGUUGGGUAAAAAAUCCAUAGAGUCGUAAUUAACAUAACUACAUUCUGCAUUCAACCCAAAAAAGAAAAAAGAAACAACUAUUUUUGUAUAGUUUAGUGUGAUGGGUAUGUUGUUGUGGCGUGAUUCUGAAAUAUAAUAGAAUCUUGCUUGUCCAUCACCCAUACAAAGGCAGAAACUUCAAUCCAGAGCAAUGGAAGCUGACAAUAUUACAAGAGACAACAGUGUCACCAUAGUUUCAGGCAAAGAAGAAUAAGUAUGUAUGGAGAAAGCUAGUAAUAUUAAUUCAGUACCUAGCUACUUGAAAUCCUACGUCAAGGUAUUAAUACAUUAUACAUAAUAAGACCAAUUAGGUUAAGCAAAUUAAACAAUUUACUCAACUUUUCAUAUUUAAUGAGCUUAAAUGGUACAUCAUCUAUUGAGUGAAAAGCCACUUUAGGGAGGUGGAAUCCAAGUGGUAAUGAAGCUUCAACAUCUACAAAGAAUCUGCAAAGCGAGAAAUAGAAAAGAAUAUAAGAAAAAAAGGAAAAACAAUAAUUAAGUAAUUAUCUUUGCACUCAAUUUAUAAAUAAGUCAAAUAAAAGAUGAUGGUUGGAGAGUAUGUGUACUUCAAUAUAAAGUUAAUGAUAUUCAAAUUCCUAUUCUGCUUUGAUAGUUAUUAGACUUGGAUGUAACUAAUUAGGGGAAAGCAGUACAGCUUAUUACUUUUUGAAGAGAGUGAAUUUUAGCCCAAUAGAACUUUGUGAUCUAAUAGGCAUUACAUGAAUAGCAAAAUUAAUUGUAGUUUGUCCAUGAUCACUUAAUAAUCAAUAAGGAGUAAUUUGAAGCAAUAUUCCUUUGUCACGAUUCAAAAUUCAAUAUAGGUCAUGAUGACGGUUAAUACUGCCGUCAGGCAAGCCAACAUUGUUUGAUCCACUUAAUUCUUCAUUUUUAUUACUUUUGAAAUCGUAAUUUCCUUUAAUUAAAUAAUAUGAAAUAGAAUUUACAGGGUGAAACAAUGAUAAUUGCCUGAACUACCAUACUAAACAUCCAAUAGGAACCCCCCAACUUCCGAUAUCACAAGUGCAUGAGUAUCAACUAGGAAAUAUAUUAGCAAAUAACACCUGUGUAGAAUACAAAUUAGACAGGAGAAUGUAAAUAACUCCAAUGGGGACUCUAUAUGCUGCGAAUUCGGAUAUGGAAUGCAGCUCACUGUAAGUCCUCACAUUACCCGCACCUCUGACCAUUAGACAUAUAUGUAUCUGUGUCGCGCCCCUUUUUCUCGCGAAAUCGGGUUUCAACAUUUCUAAGACAACUCCCCUUACUUUUGGGACGGAGUAAGGGAAUUGAAGAGUAGCCAUUUAACAGAUUAAGGUGGGUUAAGGCACCUAGAGCAGAAACUAGUUUACAUCACUAGAGAUCGGGAAAGGGCUCAAAAUUACCUUGAGGAGAAGGUGUUAGUCACCUUAAAUUGAACAUACAAUUGAAUUAUACAGGGUUUCACAUUAUUGCAGAUAACUUAGUUUUGCAUCAUCACUAAGUGGAACCAUAUAGUCAUAUAGCAAACAGAACCAUGCUGAGGUUUUGAAAUAAACUAGCCAAGUAAGCACAUAGAACAGAAUAGGGUAACCGUAGAUUAAAGCAUACUAGUUGAGAAGAAAUCAAACAUGAAUGCAACAACAAUUUCAAUCCAGAGAAUCUAGCCUUGGUUUUCAGCCGGCCAAACAGUGCAGAAUCAGAACAAUAGAAAGGGAGCUUAAGUUUUUUAGAACAGAGAAUUUGAAAGUUAUAAGGUUGUUCAGUGAAGAUGUUGUAAAGCUUGUAAGUGUCUCCAUCCCUGUAAAAUCAGGACAAAGGAAGGGCCUUUUAUAGCAUACAUUAGAGUAAAAUAAAUAAGAUAUAGAAUUAAUUGCACACAAAUAAGGUAUGAAAAUCAGUUGGUCAAUCAACCUAUGGUCAACAUGAAUCAAUUAAGAGAACAAAAUCAAAUAAGUACCACUUUAUUUAAGGAAAAUCUCACUUGGAAUCAAUUAAUAUCUAAGAAUGAGGUCAAAUAAAUUAUGAACUAAUUCCACAAUCAAUUAGGAGUUAGGACACAAAAUCAGCCAGUAAUACAAGGACAUAAAUAAGGUAAGAAAAAGUAAGAACUUAAUAAGGAAACACAUGUACUAAAUUCAAACCCUAAUAUAGGUAAGUAAAUCAAUUAACACUUACUUGACAGAGUUGAAGGUAAACGACAAAACAUUAUAAUAAAAAGUCGAAUAAUUGAAACCGGAAGACAUAUCAAAGACAUAAAGAUGAAACUCAAGUACAAAUCAACCAAAAAAGUAAAGAAGAAAAUCGGAGUUGAAAAUAUUUAAACGUUUAAACAUUUUUUUGCCAAAAACCCUAUUUUUUAGAGUAAAAUAAAAUCUGUUAACAAUAAUAGUAGAAUCAAAAUAUCUUAAGAUAAAAUUCAGAACAAACUUAAAAUCGCUUCAGAUCUAAAGAGAUCUAAACGGAUUCAACUAUAAAAGGCUAAGUUUGUGGAAAUGACUAGAUGUGAAUCAAAUCUGGUUUGAACCAGAGAUUUGAAACUAUAAAAUACGAAAAUAUCAGUACUCAUAGAUAUCGGAGUGAACAUAGAUGCAUUAAUCAAGAAAUGAGAGACUACGAACCAAAUAUGGUUGAAUCUCUUUAGAUUGUCCUCAAGUAACAUGAAAAUCAUACAAACAGUAGAGAGAUGAGGAUGGAUAUGGCAUGAAAUAGAAGGAAAACCCCAUGAAUCAAGGGGGAUAUCAGUGACGUGGGCUAGGGCUAGAAGAGGGGUGAGAGAGGAGAGGAAAGAUGAGGAUUGAAGGACGACAAAUUGGAAAAAUGGGGGGAGGGGGGUAGGGUUUAGGGGUUGGUGUAAUUAAAAAGGAAAGCUGAUCCUAGAAUUAAAUUUAGGCUG
rnacentral:lncRNA from 1 species